GAUGAACGCUGGCGGCGUGCCUAAUACAUGCAAGUCGAGCGAACAGAUAAGGAGCUUGCUCCUUUGACGUUAGCGGCGGACGGGUGAGUAACACGUGGGUAACCUACCUAUAAGACUGGAAUAGCUCCGGGAAACCGGGGCUAAUGCCGGAUAACAUUUAGAACCGCAUGGUUCUAAAGUGAAAGAUGGUUUUACUAUCACUUAUAGAUGGACCCGCGCCGUAUUAGCUAGUUGGUAAGGUAACGGCUUACCAAGGCAACGAUACGUAGCCGACCUGAGAGGGUGAUCGGCCACACUGGAACUGAGACACGGUCCAGACUCCUACGGGAGGCAGCAGUAGGGAAUCUUCCGCAAUGGGCGAAAGCCUGACGGAGCAACGCCGCGUGAGUGAUGAAGGUCUUCGGAUCGUAAAACUCUGUUAUUAGGGAAGAACAAAUGUGUAAGUAACUGUGCACGUCUUGACGGUACCUAAUCAGAAAGCCACGGCUAACUACGUG
rnacentral:rRNA from 1 species